rnacentral:ncRNA from 1 species
UUAGUAACUUUGAUCAGGGCAAGUACUUAAAUUAAAGCCUUUUAGAGAGUGAUUGGUUGGUGAAAAAUCAUAGGAAAAUUUAAGGAAUAUCACCUGUGAGUUGGAUGCUGAACGAAAGUUUUAUUUUUAUUAAGUUAUCCCGUUUAUCCACGUUACAGGAUUAAGGCAUAAUAUGUGCUUUUACGAAACUUAGCAAGAAACCUUACUUAUAUAAUUUUAAAAUUUAUUGCUAAGAUAACUAUGCAAUUUAGGUGGUACAGCGAAUAUACUUCGUCCUUUAU